rnacentral:rRNA from 1 species
CGCGUAGGCGGUGCGGUAAGUCACCUGUGAAACCUCCGGGCUCAACUCGGAGCCUGCAGGCGAAACUGCCGUGCUGGAGUGUGGGAGGGGUGCGUGGAAUUCCCGGUGUAGCAGUGAAAUGCGUAGAUAUCGGGAGGAACACCUGUGGCGAAAGCGGCGCACUGGACCACAACUGACGCUGAGGCGCGAAAGCUAGGGGAGCAAACAGGAUUAGAUACCCUGGUAGUCCUAGCCCUAAACCAUGGAUGCUUGGUGUAGCCGGUACCCAAUCCGGCUGUGCCGUAGCUAACGCGAUAAGCAUCCCGCCUGGGGAGUACGGUCGCAAGGCUGAA